rnacentral:rRNA from 1 species
AUUGAACGCUGGCGGAAUGCUUUACACAUGCAAGUCGAACGGCAGCACGGACUUCGGUCUGGUGGCGAGUGGCGAACGGGUGAGUAACAUAUCGGAACGUAUCCAAUAAUGGGGGAUAACUAAUCGAAAGGUUGGCUAAUACCGCAUACGCCCUACGGGGGAAAGCAGGGGAUCUUCGGACCUUGCGUUAAUGGAGCGGCUGAUAUCUGAUUAGCUGGUUGGUGAGGUAAAGGCUCACCAAGGCGACGAUCAGUAGCUGGUCUGAGAGGACGACCAGCCACACUGGAACUGAGACACGGUCCAGACUCCUACGGGAGGCAGCAGUGGGGAAUUUUGGACAAUGGGCGCAAGCCUGAUCCAGCCAUUCCGCGUGAGUGAAGAAGGCCUUCGGGUUGUAAAGCUCUUUCGCAAGGGAAGAAAACUUACUUUCUAAUAAAGAGUGAGGUUGACGGUACCUUGAUAAGAAGCACCGGCUAACUACGUGCCAGCAGCCGCGGUAAUACGUAGGGUGCGAGCGUUAAUCGGAAUUACUGGGCGUAAAGCGUGCGCAGGCGGUUUUGUAAGUCAGAUGUGAAAUCCCCGAGCUCAACUUGGGAACUGCGUUUGAAACUACAAGACUAGAAUAUGUCAGAGGGGGGUAGAAUUCCACGUGUAGCAGUGAAAUGCGUAGAGAUGUGGAGGAAUACCAAUGGCGAAGGCAGCCCCCUGGGAUAAUAUUGACGCUCAUGCACGAAAGCGUGGGGAGCAAACAGGAUUAGAUACCCUGGUAGUCCACGCCCUAAACGAUGUCUACUAGUUGUUGGUGGAGUAAAAUCCAUGAGUAACGCAGCUAACGCGUGAAGUAGACCGCCUGGGGAGUACGGUCGCAAGAUUA